rnacentral:lncRNA from 1 species
UGACAUUGUGCAUUCCAUCCAGGACUUAUUUACUUCCUGGGGGCAAGUCAAGACGUCUCGCCCCACUUCAACCAGUCAUCAUUCUGCUUCUUCAGAGGAAAAUAUGAAGUUUCUUAAGCAGUCAAUAUUUGAGUAUGUGUCCUUUAUGGACAUGAAUAUCGGCCAAGCUAGUGCUACUAAAUAUAAGGAUAAACUUGAGCUAUUGAGUGCGAAAUUGGCGCAAGCACUUAUACUUCCGUCGCUCAAUGUUUCUGCUGACUUUAAAGCGACGUUGAAGGUUGUUCAUUCUGACAUCCUUUCCUUGCUAGCCAAAAAUGUUGAACUGAAGGCCAAGAGUACUCAAUAUCUUCGUGCUGCAUCUGAAAGAGAGUCUUUGCUUCUAGAGAUUAACAAAGUCGAGGACGAAUUAAAAGAAAUCUCUUCCAACGUUAUGAUCGAAGACUCUUUGAAGACAAGUUUGGCUGCAGAGAUGAAGGAGUUUCAAGCAAAAAUGGAUGACUGUAGGGUGAGAAUGGCUGCUAAAAAGCGUAAUACUUCCCAAGGAAUUGAAUGAACCAAGUCUUUGGUCGAGCAGUACAAAAAGCUGGAAGUUGAUGACGAUUUUGAAGCUGAAUUAAAUGCCGCUUCUUCUCAACAGAGCGAAGAUUGGGGAAGACUUAGGGAAAGAAUUCAUUCAGCCCGGGGUGAAUUGUAAUUAAGACAUUCAAUGCCUUAACUUUUCUUUUGUAACUUCGUACUAACUUUCCUU